UCCCUCAAGCCGGAUUGGAACCAGCGACCUAAGGAUCACCGUUGUAACAUCUACAGUCCUCCGCUCUGCCAACUGAGCUAUCGAAGG
rnacentral:tRNA from 1 species